GUGGGGAAUCUUGCGCAAUGGGCGAAAGCCUGACGCAGCCAUGCCGCGUGAAUGAUGAAGGUCUUAGGAUUGUAAAAUUCUUUCACCGGGGACGAUAAUGACGGUACCCGGAGAAGAAGCCCCGGCUAACUUCGUGCCAGCAGCCGCGGUAAUACGAAGGGGGCUAGCGUUGCUCGGAAUUACUGGGCGGAAAGGGCGCGUAGGCGGAUCGUUAAGUCAGGGGUGAAAUCCCAGAGCUCAACUCUGGAACUGCCCUUGAUACUGGCGAUCUUGAGUGUGAGAGAGGUAUGUGGAACUCCGAGUGUAGAGGUGAAAUUCGUAGAUAUUCGGAAGAACACCAGUGGCGAAGGCGACAUACUGGCUCAUUACUGACGCUGAGGCGCGAAAGCGUGGGGAGCAAACAGGAUUAGAAACCCUUGUAGUCC
rnacentral:rRNA from 1 species